CAGGGUAGGUGAGUAGCGGCGGCGGAGUAGAGGGUGGAGCCCUAGGUAGGGGUAGGUUAGUCACACACGCAGGGACUAGGUUUAGGAGAGCUAGAGAGGGUGGUUGGUCGCGGAAGGGACUAAGGGAGCAGGUGGAGGACGUCGGGCUCGUGGCCAGCCGGUGACAUCGAGGAGGUGCCGGAGGAAGGAGCGGCUGGCUGGUUCGAAGCACGCGGAGACGCAGCUCCAUGAGGAGUAGGGGUUCGGAGCACGGCGUCGGAGGAAGAGGAGCACGGGCGUAGGGUGGCUCAAGGAGACGAACGCGUCGGUUGCGGGCUCGAGAAACGACGAGCAGUUCGGUAGGUGGCGGCGUCCGCAGUGGCCGCUGGUCUCCGGAGGAGCAGCGGGGAGCUCGCCCUCACGUUGAGAUGGCGGGUACCGGAGAUGGCGCGGCCUCGAAACGACGGUGUCCGCUAUCGUUGUUGUUGAGGGCACGUGCACAGGUGACUUGGGGCAGCGGGAGGUAGAUGUAGCAGCCGCUGGUGGACGUCGUCCUGGGACGCGGGGACGGAGAAGGAAGGAGCAGGAAGAGAGGAGGGAGAGAGUGGACGAGAGAGACAGCACGUUGUCCCUCGGGGCUCCUCAAAACGCGUCCGGUAGGAGCAGGAGGCACGGAUGUAGUCGAGCUCCCGUCCUAGGGGAACUAGUGCACGAGAAGUAACUGGCAUCGAGGCCUAGUCUAGCUGGAGAGGAAAGGACAUGGAGGUGGCGGGCCUAAGCGCGGCUAGGCGCGGAGGGAGGCAGGGGACGUAGCGGAGCAGCGGCCUCAUCUUCGAGGCAAGCGGUUCGCGGCGCGGGGACGAAGCAGAGCGACGUUCUCCUCGUCGCUCAGUCGCGGGUCGGCGGGGUUUCGUUCCUGUCGCUGUUCAGGAGGAAGAGGGCAACUGGCGACGCGCUCCGGGUCGACGGGCCGGAGGUGGAGGUCAACCCGGAUCCGGGUUACACUCGUGUGGGGAUCGCGGGGUGGGGAAAAAAAGGACAACAACCCGGUCGUCUAGGCCGGGUAAAAAAAACUCCGAGACGCUUAAAUCGAUUAAAGAUCUUUUGACAACAAAAUGUCUUUUGGGGAACAUCUAGUACGUAUAUUAUUGAAUUAUUGGCACGUAGCCAAAUUUUGUUUGAAUUAUACUUUCAACGAAUCUUAAAACAGAUCAAAUUAUUAUACAGUGAAAGUAGAUACAAAUUUUACAAAUUUACGACAAACCAAUUUAAACGGGGAUACAGUACAAUUUUACUAAAUUAAGUAUUGAUAAAUUGGCAUUGAGCCUUAAAUUACUUGAAAUAUACAUAUACCCCAUCUUAAAACGUAUCAAAUAGUACCACAUGAACUAAACCUACAAAUUGUUGAGAUUUUAACACAAAUCCCGUCUUGUUGUGGAUUAGAUUUUAUACGUAUACCCCUAAAUGGCCUUAAACAACAAGCAACAAAGGCCGGAUUAAAUUGGAACUGAUCUAUCCAUCAAAAGUAAACGAAGUGGGAGAACGGUACAAAUUGUUGUAAAUUAUAACAACCCAUGUAUUUGCUCUAGCUUGAUUUAUUGAACUUGCACCACAAAGUAGUUAUACGUUGCCUCAACGUAUAACUCGAGGUGAAUUAAACAUCCUAACGAACACGUGAAACGGUACGGUACGGAGUAAUUUGGCAUGUACGUAGUAUGAACAAACGCGUAGCACGGUACUAAUACACCACCAACAAAUGAUACAACAAACGAAAGAAAGGCUACAUAAAGAAGAGCCAUUAGGCCAUUACAGCGCAAACACUCCUGGGUAAGCUGAUGCAGGCAAACAGAAGAAGUACCUGAGCAAGAAGAAGGAACGCCCUAAAGUCCGUUCUACUGGUAUGGGAGCUUUAGUGAAGAUAGAAACGAACGAUCAACGAGUGAGAAAACGAUACGGAUACAGCGCUAUGGAUGGUGAACGAUAUAGUACGGAGGGUAUAGCAAUUCGGUUCGGAGAUUGGGUGGAACAGAAUCGUUUGGCAACAAACCGAUACAAUGGUGAAACGAGUCGGGGAGAAUAUCGCAACAAUCAAUGUCCACUUCUAACUUCAAACAAGUAACAACCUUGUACCGUUACAACAAGGAACAACCUUGUACAAAUGAACAACCCUAUAGGGUUAUAGAGAAUAAAUUAAUUACGUAGAUAUAUAAACCAUUUCCCACCUUCCGAGCCGGAAUACGGACCACAAAACAAGGUGACAACGGUGGGAUCAAAGGCAGUAUAGCCACAAUACAAGGGCCUAAAACGCAAGGAAUGCGCCAACCCAAUAUUACCCUUGGGGAACUGUCAAGCGGAACUUAUUUUGAGGAGGUCGUUCCGAGUUGUAACCAAAAUGGUAAACGGUGGAUCUAAAAAAAGGGAACCCAUCCGGUCGGGUUCCCAUAAGAAGUAAAUUUGGGGCCCGGUCACGAGGAGACUCACAACCAGGUUGGACAGUCGGCAGCCACCGGUGGUCCCCGUUGAGACCCGACCGGAUGGCUUUCAAACCUGUUAGGCCACACGGAACUCUUGCUCUAUACACGUCGAGGAUAGCCCUAAACAGCCGUGUAAACCCACCGAAACGACCAGAACAAAAUGGUAACAGCUUUACAGAACAUUGGCCCUAAGGCUCAGACUAGCCCAGAAGGGCGAUCUUCCUUAUAGGAAACAACUGGCACUCUCGAACACUACCCGAUUCAACCCUGUGGGGACGUCCCUAUACUUGAAAGCUUUCGGCACGGGCGCCAAUACCCGUCUAUCCUUAAAAAAUUACAGGCCAACAUCUUUUGGACUUCAACUGGAAUUAAUUUUAUGUAGUUGGCGCACGCAUUGGCACUACCAGAGAAGAGCCGCCCCAGGCCCUUCACUUGUGCCACAACCUCAAUACGAACUGCAUCCAACAAGAUCCUAGUGAAGAACUAGUAUCAACAAGCUGGCACGAAAACGGAAGAGAAGAGCGAGAGAAAACGCUUAUCCAAUCGGUGGUAUAUAUGAUCAGCGAACGACGUCGAGGUGGAGUAUGGAAAAUGGAAUGGGUAUUCGAAUUUAUCAGAACUAGCGCUCCCACAUUCUAACGACUCAGGGGCACUGAGUAUCAAUGAAGGUUUUGGUCAAACGUCCACGGCUACUAUGGCCCGUCCACUGAGUUGGUUCGAGUUCCUCCUCGAGCUACUUCUAGAACAGGCAAUACAACAAAGCAAGAUCAACUAGUCAUAACCUCGGGUCAACCCCAGCUAGCCCCUAGACACAUGGUAAACCCCAUCAGAAGAAAAUAAAACCAAGGCAUCAGCCCGGAACUAACAUAGACCUACUACAUUACAAAAAAAGUACAUUAACACACUUCACCGCUAACAUUCGGUUGAUACAUAGAGACAGGGAAUACAUAAUGUACCCAACACACUUCUAAU
rnacentral:rRNA from 1 species